GCAGACAAUGGAAAUGUGCAUCUUUGCUCAUAACCCAAAAAGUUAAGCGAAGUUAAAGAAGUGAAGUCUCAGCUGCCAACAGAUGGAUUUUGAUCUCUCUCAUCGGAGGUGAGUAGCGGCGGUUAAUGAACAAGGGACACAGAAGAGGAGAGAGAUAAUGGAGGAGGAAGGGUCGUUGCUAUCUGCAACAGGACAAGACCGGAGUCUAAUCCUGCUGCUGAUGAAGAUGACCUUGGCAGCAGCUUUAGUAGUACAGAGCCUGUAGACCCAAUGGAUGAAAGCUUUCAGCCUGGAAUGUGCUCAAUCUCAACAUCAUCUGACUUUGAAACAAGCCAGGACAACCAAAGGUAUUUGGAAAAGCACAAUACCCUCUUGAGAAAACAAAAUCACAGAACACUAAACUGAACCGUCAACAAGACAAAUGGCAUGGGGGAGAGGGGCUGUUAGUAUACUCUUCUAGCCUAUUCACUCUAUUGUUGGCAGUGCUUGUCUACUCAACAGCACAGCUGUAGGUGCUCAUGUAGUGAAGUAAUAUGUUAUAUGUAUGUGUAGCAGUGUGAUGUUGUUCCCCUAGAUUGUGCACCAAGUUGCACACAAGAACCAGUUCGAAUAGACCAGGUC